rnacentral:rRNA from 1 species
GAUGAACGCUGACAGAAUGCUUAACACAUGCAAGUCAACUUGAACUUCGGUUUGGGUGGCGGACGGGUGAGUAACGCGUAAAGAACUUGCCUCACAGCUAGGGACAACAUUUGGAAACGAAUGCUAAUACCUGAUAUUAUGAUUAUAUGGCAUCGUAUAAUUAUGAAAGCUAUAUGCGCUGUGAGAGAGCUUUGCGUCCCAUUAGCUAGUUGGAGAGGUAACAGCUCACCAAGGCGAUGAUGGGUAGCCGGCCUGAGAGGGUGAUCGGCCACAAGGGGACUGAGACACGGCCCUUACUCCUACGGGAGGCAGCAGUGGGGAAUAUUGGACAAUGGACCGAGAGUCUGAUCCAGCAAUUCUGUGUGCACGAUGAAGUUUUUCGGAAUGUAAAGUGCUUUCAGUUGGGAAGAAAAAAAUGACGGUACCAACAGAAGAGGUGACGGCUAAAUACGUG